AUUGAACGCUGGCGGCAUGCCUUACACAUGCAAGUCGAACGGUAACGGGCCUUCGGGUGCCGACGAGUGGCGAACGGGUGCGUAAUACAUCGGAACGUGCCCGAUCGUGGGGGAUAACGAGGCGAAAGCUUUGCUAAUACCGCAUACGAUCUACGGAUGAAAGCAGGGGACCGCAAGGCCUUGCGCGGACGGAGCGGCCGAUGGCAGAUUAGGUAGUUGGUGGGAUAAAAGCUUACCAAGCCGACGAUCUGUAGCUGGUCUGAGAGGAUGAUCAGCCACACUGGGACUGAGACACGGCCCAGACUCCUACGGGAGGCAGCAGUGGGGAAUUUUGGACAAUGGGCGCAAGCCUGAUCCAGCCAUGCCGCGUGCAGGAUGAAGGCCUUCGGGUUGUAAACUGCUUUUGUACGGAACGAAAAGCCUUCUUUUAAUACAGGAGGGUCAUGACGGUACCGUAAGAAUAAGCACCGGCUAACUACGU
rnacentral:rRNA from 1 species